UAUGAAUGAAUUUUCUAAUAAUUUUUAUUAUUGUUUUUGAAUUUAUAUUUCUGUUGAAAAUAACAGAAUAACUUCUAAGACUAAAAGACCCUAAAAUUUUUAUGACUUAAAAGUUAUUUGGUUGGGGAAAUAAAAAUAAUUAAAUAUUUAAAUAUAUAAUUUUAGUUGAACUUUUUUUAAAGAUAAUUUGUUAAAAUACUCUAGGG
rnacentral:rRNA from 1 species